UACGUAGGGUCCGAGCGUUGUCCGGAAUUAUUGGGCGUAAAGGGCUCGUAGGCGGUUUGUCACGUCGGGAGUGAAAACUCAGGGCUCAACCCUGAGCGUGCUUCCGAUACGGGCAGACUAGAGGUAGGCAGGGGAGAGCGGAACUCCUGGUGUAGCGGUGGAAUGCGCAGAUAUCAGGAAGAACACCGGUGGCGAAGGCGGCUCUCUGGGCCUUACCUGACGCUGAGGAGCGAAAGCGUGGGUAGCGAACAGG
rnacentral:rRNA from 1 species